rnacentral:rRNA from 1 species
UACGUAGGGUGCAAGCGUUGUCCGGAAUUAUUGGGCGUAAAGAGCUCGUAGGCGGCUUGUCGCGUCGGCUGUGAAAACCUGGGGCUCAACCCCGGGCCUGCAGCCGAUACGGGCAAGCUAGAAUUCGGUAGGGGAGACUGGAAUUCCUGGUGUAGCGGUGAAAUGCGCAGAUAUCAGGAGGAACACCGGUGGCGAAGGCGGGUCUCUGGGCCGAAAUUGACGCUGAGACGCGAAAGCGUGGGUAGCAAACAGG